UUUUAAUGUGCUUUUAUUAUAAUAUAAAGUUAAAUAUUUAAUUGUUGUUAGUUACUUAAUACGUAAGUAAAGGCACACAAUCCCUUCUUCAGUGUGCUUGUUUUAUGAGUUUUAGUAGAAAUCAGAUUCUUUUAGCAUUCUUUGUUGUGUUGUUAAGAGUGACACGCAGAUUCUGAUCCAAGUGAUUCCGAUUCUAAAUGCUCAACUCGGCAGAAAAAGCUAUAAAGUGAGGGAUUGUGAGGUAAACAUGAACGAAGACAAAGGAGAAUUAUUGUUUUCACUAACCUUGAUCUUUGCAGAAACUCUACGAUCUCUUAGAGUGCCAAUAGUAGACCCGUAACCAUGGAAGAAAGAGUCCUAGACAUGUUCACCUAAUUAAGUGUCUAGUUGGGGAACAUGGAUGCAUGCAUGGAUCGCAUGGACGAGGUGACAAUCGCAGCCAUGUUUGAUGCCAAAUAAUACGAGAAGAGAUAGUGUUUUGUGGUG
rnacentral:lncRNA from 1 species